rnacentral:rRNA from 1 species
AACGAACGCUGGCGGCAGGCUUAACACAUGCAAGUCGAGCGCCCCGCAAGGGGAGUGGCAGACGGGUGAGUAGCGCGUGGGAAUCUACCCAGUUCUACGGAACAACAGUUGGAAACGACUGCUAAUACCGUAUACGCCCUACGGGGGAAAGAUUUAUCGGAAUUGGAUGAGCCCGCGUAAGAUUAGCUAGUUGGUGGGGUAAUGGCCUACCAAGGCGACGAUCUUUAGCAGGUCUGAGAGGAUGAUCAGCCACACUGGGACUGAGACACGGCCCAGACUCCUACGGGAGGCAGCAGUGGGGAAUAUUGGACAAUGGGCGCAAGCCUGAUCCAGCCAUGCCGCGUGAGUGAUGAAGGCCUUAGGGUUGUAAAGCUCUUUCACCGAUGAAGAUAAUGACGGUAGUCGGAGAAGAAGCCCCGGCUAACUUCGUGCCAGCCGCCGCCGUAA